UCCUAUCCACAACUAACUCCCUAAGAACACGCCUGAUCCCAUUUUUUGGCUAACUCCCUUUUCCCCUCACUUGCAUAACACACACGACACAAUGUACACACAGGGCACUACUCGCAUUUUCUUUCCACAACUCACACACUGCACUAUGUAAUACAUUCAUUUUGUAGUAUUUAAGGGAGAGGGAGAGCAAUUAGGCAAACCUUAAGAAUCAUCUUGGUUUUUGAUCACACAAAAUCAUCUCUGUUUUCUCCAUUAAAGCCGCUCGAGUACUCCAUCUUCACAGCCAUAUAGCAGCUCCAAAAAUCACCCCUCAACAGCCAUGUAUCCACCUACAAACACCAAGGAAUCAACUGUUUCUUUUAGCCAACAAAGCACCCCAAAACUACAAUAAAUCUGCUGAUUUCUUCCACCUAAAACGACACCGAGACACUGCUGAAAUACCAGCACACAACCCUCCCUCCUCCCCUCCCCCCCCUACACACACAAAAAGCAGCCAUAAAACACCAGGAAAAUAGCUCCGAAAAUCAGUCCAAAAACCACCCCAAAUCCAGCCAAAAAGGAGCAGCAUCUCCAGCUCAAAAACAGCUGCAAAAUCGUCCAAACAAUAGUCCCGAAAAUCAGACCUAAGACACCACAAAAUAGCCUCGAGAACGCAGUAAAACCAACUCCAAAAACGUAAAAAAAAACUCAAACUCAACUGUAAAUCAAUCCAAGAACCAACUCCAAUCAGACCUUAAAUCACCACAAAGAUAGUCGAGGUUGCCGUUUAAAGUUUUACGACGAAGUUUCCGGUUCGGGUUCUAUUGAUGAGGUUUCUCUUUGGAUAGCAGAAGGAUACUCCGUUGUACAAGUUUGCCUUCUCAAUAUUGAACAAAGUUUAUUACCUUUGAGGUUUAUUCUUAUUUUUUAUUUUUCUUUCUUCAAAUUUUGUUAACUUACAUGCCUGUAAGAUUUUAUUAGUUAUUUGCUGAGUUGACAAUUGUCUGUUUAAGAGUUCAAAUGCGCGCUUGAUUAGUUUAAGCAAAGCUCGUGGAAUUUUGUUCAAAUUACUGAAGAUCGUUCUUGGUUUAUAUGCUAAAAAUGGGAAUUCAUGAGAGAUUUGUUAUGCCAUUUUGUUUAUUAUCGUUGUUUAUAAUUAUUAUGGCUUCAAAUUCCUUUGUAUGUUUCGAGUUAUUUUCUAAGUAGAUUAGUUGAAUAAGAUUUCAUUUUAAUUAAUUUUUUAGAAGUUUUUCCUAUAUAUACUAUAAUAGGAACUUAUUAAUUUAUUUUAUCUAGGUUUUGUAGUUUCCAAAAGUAUCUAGAUUUUUUUUAUAAAUUGUAUACAUUACCCCCUUAAAAAGCUCUCAUCCCAUGAUUAAUACCUUCAAUUAAGGGAUUCAAUUAUAUCCAUUCCUUUUUUCACACUUUUCCUCGUUUCAUGCGUCCUAAUUUUUUCUGUAUGCAGAUCGCCUCUUCUCUCUCUUCGAUAGUUGUACGUCUUCAACAAGAAGCUUGUAAUUUUGCUUCAGUUGUUGAAUGAUUUUGGUUGGAACCUUCAAAUGCUUGAUAUAAUGUCUUACUACAUAUUCUAUGUUUCUAUUAUUCUUAUAAUAUUAGGAAAGUGAUACCUAAUCUAACAAAUCCAAUAAUACAGAACUGAUUUUCAUAAUAGAUACCAAAAAGAUACUUUUUCUUUGCAGUAAGAAAUCUAUACACAUGGCAUAGAAUAUCAUGAGAUGACAAAAAAAAUCAGUUGCUAAAAGUUUCUUCAACAAUUCAAAAAUUGCUAAACUCUAGCAAAAUUAUUACUAAUAGGAUAAUGCCUCAUACACAAUCCAAAUGUGAAAUUGGUCACAAACUUACAAUUGCACAUCACCGUAUAUAAUUAUCAUAUAUUUAUGAUAUAAUUUCUGCAACAAUUAUGAUACAAAUAUAAUUAUGAUACAACUGUGAUACAAUUCUAAUCUUCAUCUUCUUCAAGUUUCAAUCACAAUUCUAAACUUAAAUUCUGAUACAAUAUUGUAUUAUAAUUAUAUUUGGUAUUAUUUUAUAUAUUGAUAUAUCAGAUACAAGUCAAAUACAACUUUGAUACAAUUAUCAUACAAUCGUGAUACAAUUUAAAAAUUUUUCUUUUUCGAGUUUCAAUAUGAAAUUUUACCUAAAAAUAACUCUAAACUUAACCAAUCUCCCUCAUAACUGAUAUAUAAACUCCAAGUUAUAUUCUAAAUCGUUUGCAAGAGCACCCAAUCCAAACAAAUCAUAAAUUCGUAAAACCCAAAUGUUGAAUUCAAAGAUUCGAAACUUUUUAAUGGUUGUCAAUGGAGAACUCUUUACUAUUGCAAUUUUAGAGAUAAUGUCGAUGAAUGCAUGUGAAGUGGAUGAGAACAAAUCACAAUUUCGUAAAACUCAAAUGUUAAAUUCAAAGUUUCAAAAUUUUUUAUUGGUUGUCAAUGGAGAACUCUUUGCUACUGCAAUUUUAGAGAUAAUGUCGAUGAAUUUGUGUGAAGAGGAUGAGAUUUGGAUUAAUUUGUAUGGAAGAGAGAAAUAUUUUAAAAUGUUUUUGAAAAUGGGAUGAAAAAGUGAUUUUAGGGACUUUGUAUAACUGAUAUACAUGAGAGGGAGGGAGGGCUGACGUGGGGGAGGGGAGAGGGAAGGGUUGUAUCAGUUACAUCCUAGUUUUAAGGAUGCUCUCUUUAUUAAGGUUUUGUAUAUAAAUAGUAAAUAUAGAUAGAGAAUAUAAUUUUUAAGGAACCUAAAGAAAAGUGGUAAAUAAGUUUCUAUUAUAGCAUAGUUGGGUAAAUUUUCCAUUAAAGAAUGAAGAUUUGUUCAUAUUAAUGGGGCAGUGUUUGAUCUUGCAAAUAGUUGGGUUGUAGAUAUUCAUUUGACUAUACAUACCAUUAGUUAAGCUAAAUGGGCCAAAAUUAGAACACCAAGCCCAUGAUGAAUAAGCUGGCCCAUUUCUUUUAUAAUGAAUAAUGUCGUACAUAUUCAAAAAUAAUUAUAGUACGCCUUUAGGCACGUUUUUGACUCGAUAAAUCAUCGUGACUAUGGGUACGGUUCCCGUGGCAUAGUCAUGAUACGUAACCCCAACUUAAAGUGCAUGUUCGCGUGACUUGAAUCAACUUAAAAAUAAUAAUAAUAAUAAUAAUAAACAUGUCGUAAUUCGUGGGUGCAUUUUACGUGUCGCGGUUUGCGAUGAGUAUAAAACGACAAGUGUACGACAUCGUAACUUGUUCAAAUAAAUUUUAUAAAUAUAUAAAAUGGCCAAAACAUUUGAUAAAAGCGGUAAAAGGGUAAAAACACCCAAUAUGUCUAAAACAUGUAAUAAUCAGACAAAUAAGCCAUGUGUAAUUGUAAAGCGACCGUGCUAAAAUCACCGAAUUUGGGAGUGGCUCAUACCUUCUCCCGGGUUAAUAUAAUUCCUUACCCAGGUCUUCUGUGUUUUGUAGACUGAUACAGAGUCAAUUUUUCCUUGAUUUGGGAUUUAAAAUAAAUGGCGAAUUGGGACGCCGUAAAUAAUUAUUCUAAGUGGCGACUCUAUAAAUUAAAUAAAAUAAUCCCUUUUCAAAUAAUAUCACUUUAAUUGGAAAAACUCUUUUUUCCCGUAAAAAAUGAGGUGUGACAACCACGAUCAUCCCUUCUUGAAUCAUCAUUUCUAUUUCCUUUUUCAAAACCAGACAAUCCUUAGUGUUAUGCCCCUGGAAUUAGAAUAGUAUACGCACCAUACAGCAGGGUCAAAACCUUUUGCAUAUGGAUCAGAAACAUACCCUUGAAGCAGCUCAAUCAUGUCAUAACGUUUCAACCUUUCAAACAAACUUGUGUAGGAUUCUACAAUUGGCGUGAAAUUAUCCCUCUACUUAUGAUCCCUUUCAUACUCCUAUUUCGGACGAGGGUAGUAGGGUGAUUGAAAGUUUUGCUAUCAAGGACGAAGGUCUGUUGAAGCUGGGGCCCAUAUCUGUUGUCGAUUGGAUGGUUUGGCAUAAUACUGAGCAUUGAAUGUUGCAUAUUGUGGAGCAACUGAGUAUCGAGGAUCCGGGGAUGGAUAGUAGUGUUGUGGAGAACCUUACGAAACCUGAUGAGACUGCCCAUAUUGUUGAGAUGCUCCCUUUUGACCUCUUUUCGACCAUGAUACCAUCAUGGCCUCCUCAUCUUUCUUCUUUCGGUUUGCAAGGCAUACCGACCCAUUCUGUAUUGCUUGGGGGUGGCUUUGAGAGUUGCUUGACUUAUAAUUCGGCCAGUCUUGAGGCCAUUUUCGACCAUUUCUCCUAUCUUGAUUGAUUCUGCAAAAGGUCUACCCAUGGCGGACAUCAUGUUUUGAAAGUAAUCAGGCUCAUGAGCCUCCAGAAAAACAGUGAUCAACUUGUGGUUAUCCAUGGGUGGCUUAACUCUAGCGCUUUCUCUCUAUUUAGUGGCAUACUCCCUAAAGCUUUCAGUCGGCUUUUUUUUUUAUAUUAGGCAGGGAAUUGCGAUCUGGCGCAAUAUCAAUGUUGUAAUGAAAUUGUUUGACGAAGGCUUGGACCAUGUCGUCCCAAUCAUGCCAAUGAGAGAUAUCUUGGUCAAUGAAAUAUUCAGAGGCUACUCCCACCAGACUCUCCCCAAAAUAAGCCAUCAGCAAUUCACCUUUUCCUCUUGCGCCCCUCAGCUAGUUGCAGUACCUUUUUAAGUGGGCGAUAGGGUUGUCGUGUCCAUCAUAUUUCUCAAAUUUUGGUGCCUUGAACCCUGGGGGUAAAUAUAUGUGAAGAAACAUGAACAGAUCACUUGAUGAGACACUUUUGUGACUGCAUAGUCCUUGUAUAUUCUUUAUGUUCUGCUCAAGACUUUUUAUUUUCUUGGCCAUCUCAUCUGGCUCUCCCGUCUUGACAUCCUUUUCAUUUUCUACAGGUGACUCGUAGUGUGGAGUCUGAUUGUGUGUAGCCGAGACCUUUAAAGCAAUAUCUGGAGAGUAGUAUUGGUCAUCAUAAGCAUGAGAUGGUGACUCGAUGUUUGGCCUCGUCACAAUAUUUGGUGGGCGGGAUUAUAUACACUGGCGCACCAGACACGACAAGAGAGGCGUUCCUAACAGGUGCGUCUAGAGGUCGCACAUUAGAGGUACCAAGGGCGGAAGGGAAGCUAUAAUUUGGCACAUACCCUGGUGGUAGAAUCUGAAAACUCAUGGGGAGCGGUGGUUGAGUAGCCAGGGAUACGGUGGAAGUUCCCUUUGAGGGACCCUGAGUCGGAGGCUGACUGGAGACCCAAGCCUGAUACACAUGAGACAGUUGCAGAUUCAAUCUUCUUACUUCCUACGACUCUUGCCCAACUGACUGACUCUGGGGGUCGUCACUGACCAACUCGAUUUCAUCAUUGUUAGCCAUCAGUACCUUUCCUUUAGAUCUAGUGAAGUAAUAAUGUGUUGCUAGUUUCACCACAAACCAACCACCUUAAACUUACUAUAUAAGAGACAACAAAAGUAUUAGGGUUAAGCAUUUUAAAGAUAUGAAUCACACGUAAUAUGCCAUGCUCCUAACAUUGUUACCGCCUCUAACAUGCUUUUCGAAGGCUUCAUGUUUCAUUUCGGCUUAUAAGGUUACUGCUUAUUGAUGCUCUUAUUUUCUUCUGCCCUUUUUCGCUUUUCUUUUUACUCGCCUCAUUUUGUAACCCUCAUAUUAGAGUCGUUGAAGAAUAUCUCGAUCGAACCUUUUGGGGGUUGCCUACGUAUCAUGUCGCCGCAUGAAUCAGAUCAUUACGUAAUUCAGGGACAUGACCAUUUGUUUUGGAGUUUUCUUUCUUUCUUUUUUUAUUUACAAAAACAAAGAUUUUUUUUAAAAUUUACAAAAAACAACAUCUUUUUGGUUCAUUUUCGAAUUUUUCUAAAAUAAAAUCUUUUUCAUUGAUUUUCGAUUUUUUUCUUCUUUUUUUUAUACAAGACUCAAAAACAAAAAUUACAUAAAGAUACAACCUAAAAAGAUAAAUAUUUAAACAAGACCGGACUCAACUCAAACAGACUUUUAAAAAUAAAAGAAAAAACAACAAGACUCAAAACACCAAAAGAGUUUUACAGACUCGAUGACAACGAAGGAACGAUCAAAAGGGACUACCAACUAAAAGAAGACUCAGAUCCCUAUAGAAGAAUCCACCAGCAUCAUUGUAGUCAAGGAGCUUAUUCUUGCGGCUGGCCUCCCAAUCAUAGUAUAUGCGCUUCAAGUCUAUGGAAAUAUGACGCGCGAAGUUGGGCGCUACCGUAGCAAAUUGCUCUCGAGUCAAACCCUGACAAGUCAUACACCCUUGGGCGGUAUAAGUAGCCACUUCAUAGGCUUUCCUUCUAACAUGAUCCUGGCUCUGACUUAAGAACUUGAUAUGCAACUCAUGAUUAUUGGCUAUGACUGAUAUAUCCACCUUGCGUUGUAAUGAUAGAUUCAGCUGGUUCUGGACCCUUCCUAGCUCAUUCUUUAGCUGGUUCUUACCCGAUUCUGCAAUCUUGGCCCGAGCCCUAUGAUCAUGGAUGAUAACAUUGCAAUGCAUUUCUUCGUGCAUUGGAAUGGCCCAUAUUCUCUCUUACUGAAGUUGUGCUUGAAGCUCUUGAAUCUCUUGAACCUCAUAUGUUAAUUUGGUCUCAGUGUACUACAAAUCCUUAUUCACAUUGACGAUACUUAUAUCCCUACGUAGCACCCGAAUGAUGGAUUCAUAGCCUCUUGUUAUUUCCUCCUUCGCCUGCCCCACUCUUGUUCUAAUUUCAACCUCUUAUUCUGUCGUGCUCUUCAGAACUGUCACUUGCAUGUAUCCAAAAGCAUAUUGAUCAUAGAACCACUCAAAAUAUGCAGGGUCUAACUCUUCUCAAUCCCGAUCUUCUACCACAUUGUGAAAUUCGAGUACCUUAUUUUCAUCCCAAACCUGUCGAGCAUAAGCCUCAUGAACUGGAUCCUCGGAUAUUACCUCCCACAUGAAUCUUUACAUGUGAUCCAUUAUGGGUACUACCGUUUUCGACCUAAUUGGUGUAGGGCUCUUAUAGGCACAGACGGCUGAAAACCACGAAGACCCAUCAAAAUCAGAAACGAAUGGUAGUAAGACCUAUAUAUGACCUCUUUUGGUGAGAACCAGUGGUAUUUCCAUGUGAUUUCAGAAUCAGUCAACUUAUAAAGAUGCCCUCUCCAUGCUUCAACGUCGUUGGGGAAGCUACUAUCUUUAGUCAAAUCUUUAAACCUAUAUUCAAGCUCAUUGUUGCUCCAAUGGACGCUAAAAUUCACCUAAACGGGAUGACGGAGAAGGUGCUCUAAAAAUCAUAUUUGGAGUAUGAUGUUACAGCCCUCAAAGAAAUCUUCUCCUUCUUGACACCUGGUCAGGGCAUGGUAAAUAUCUAACAAUAUCAUAGGAAUGAUAGUGACGUCCUUUCUACACAAUAAAGUGGUGACUAUGCCAGAUAAUCGAAUAUCAAUAUUUUUGUCAUGCCUCGAGAAAAUCAUUGUCCCUAGAAAUGCCACUAAGAAUGCUCUCCACCCAUGUCUUUGCCAAGCGUUGAAUCUAAUUUUGUUAUCAAGCUUUUUUCAUGAUUUGAGAAUCCACCUAGACACCCAUACCUGUCGUAUAAGAAAUCCAAUUGAACAUGCCAUCUUUCCACACUUGCUAUUUUAUUUUGGAUGUUUGUCAUCUACUCCAAAAUGUACUACUAGUGACUUCCCUUGGGGCCAAGGGUCUCUUCUUCCGAAGCUCAUCGACUAACCUUAUGUAUCCAACUAACUCCUCCAAAGUGGGAGUCAUUUCGAAACCAUUAAAAUAUAAUACAUUGUUAUUAGAAUCCCAGAAAUGCACCAACGCCUCAAUUAAGUCCCUCCUUGGGUUGAUCACCAUAAUAUUCAUUAAGUGACCCAGAUGGUCCUUUAUCUUUUCAUGCUCACAAAUGCUCAUAUUUUUCCAUCAUUGCCUCAACAACCGGGUAUUUAUGCACAAGACAAAUUUGUGGAGACUCAUCAUCUAUUGGCAUUUUGUUAGAUCUUCUUCUCAUUGGGUCUAUAAUGCACCUAAGUGGUAGAACAUGAGGUUAGGACCUAUGCAAGCUUAGAUAACACAAAAUUUCUAAUACCCUAGGAUUUGACUCAUGAAAGUUUAGAAAUGGAAAUGUGGGACUUAAGUAACCAACCCUAACCAUGUUUUGAAGUGAGCGUUUACUGAAAUUGAACACCCUCCUUGGGAGAUGAUACAAUUUUGAAUGAUCAGUCAAUCUUUACCCAAAUAGUAAGACAUGAUUGAUUUGGACGGGGCACUAGGCCAUAGUAGAGUUGCCUAAGUAUCUUGCAUAGGGUCAAUAAUCAAGUGCACAUAGUUUGUACAAGAGACAAAGCUGGACUACAAGACCUUUCUUACGAAAAUGGUCCUUUGGCACUUUCAAAGAAGGUUUUGGUGUAGUCCCGACAAAACAACUGAACACAAGGAUAAAAUGAUAAAAAGUAGGCAAAAAUGUCGAGCUUUGCUAAGCCAAAUGUAUGUGAUGCAAAUAAAGCGAACCUACUAGAAAUAUCCAGCAUGAGGUUUGUUCCUCUCGGUUUAAAUCCUAGUGGAGAAGGUAUCUAGAUUGGCUUACUCGAACGGACAACUCGAGCUGAGGAGGGUUAGCAUACCAGUAGCAAUACUUUCCGGCUUAGCUGGUGGUGCUCCCCGCCUAAAAUAUAUGUGACUAAAAUUAUUUACCGGGUGGCAAGCACCUCGGCUAUCUCAAAGGAAGCAUGAUAUGUCAAGCAAAUGUUCAAUUUUAAUUUCAAGAAGACUCAGAGGGGGUGCGUGAGAUGAUAGUUUAUAUGCACAGUUCAACAAUAUCAAAACGGUAAAAAUCAGACAAGUAGCAUAUUAGGGCCAAAUAAAUCAUGGUAUAUACAAAAAUUAAUAAAGCCAAAUAAAGUCAAUGUACAAGCUCGAAUUCUGGUUAUCCCCACCAGAGUCGCCAAAGCUGUCACACCAUUUUUCUAUCCCCCAAAAGAUAUGUGUGUUAUGGAUAAUUGUAGGUAAAAGAGUUUUUUCAAUUAAAAUGAUAAUUUAAAAUAAGGAUUAUUUUAUUGUUCAGAGUCGCUACUUGGAAUUGAUUUUUAGGUGUUCCAAAUCACCUUUUAUUUGAAUCCCUAGUCAAACGAAGGUUUGACUCUAUUAUUAUUGGUCUGCGAAAAUAAAGUCUGGGUAAGGAGUUCUGAUGUCCGGGGAGAAGGUGUAAGGCAUUCCCCGAGUCCCCUGGUUCUAGCACGAUCGCUUUAUUGGCUUAAGCUUGGCAUGAAUUAAUUUUGGAUAAAAUGUGCAUUAUUUGAUUUUCAUGGUUUACCUAUCCGCUUUUCAUUAUUAAAAUUAUUAAAGAAUAAUUUGAAUAAUAUUAAAUUGUCCUAACUGCACCACGCAAGCGAAUGUACGACCGAGAUGAAUUUUAUUAUUUUUUUCAUAACAGCACUACGCAAGCGAAUCCACAGUCAUGACGAAGGAUUAUUAGCACGUUAUUACUUUUGAAAAACUACAACAUUUGAGGAUAUUAAUUUUGGCAUUCAUUAAAAAGUCAACCAACGUGCUAGCGAUUAUAACAAGGUAUUAAUUAAAUUAAGAAUUAAUUAAAGCUAGUAGAUAUGGUAUGAGAUUGAUGAAUUAAUUGAAUGUCAAACAUCACGCUACGCAAGCGAGUCCGUGAAGUUAAAGUGUGCCUACUAGUUGCAUAGCGUUUAAAAUUAAUUAUAUUAUUAAAUUAGUUAAACAAAAAAAAAAUUAUUUUUGGCCCAGUUUCCAGAAGCAAAUCUACUGUUUGUUUCUGGUCGAUUCUCUUAGGUUCUCGAAACUAGUAGCUAUUUGUUCCCGAAAUUAACUAGAAUCCUUCUAUUUCUCACAAGUUUUGUACUCUAAGAAACACUCACGAAGUUCAGAAUUUUUAGCUUACUAUUCCAUAUGUUCAGCUGAUCUUUUGCCCUCAAAUGGUGUUCUUUUGUUGUAUAAAAAAUGUCUUCUAAGUGUGUUAGAGUGUGAGUAAAAAUGAAGAAAGAGUAGCCCUUAAGUAGGAAGUAAAAAAGCACUUUUUUGGACAGCUUUUUGUUCACUAAAAAUCUGUCCAAAAUGACUGAUAUUUAUUUACCAAAACCUGCCCAAAGGGCUGUCCAAAUAGGAGAAAGGACAAUCCCUUUUCACCAAGUUUAGACACAAAGAAAGUAAUUGAACUAUUGGCAUACUUCAAACAAUGAAAACAAACUAAUGUAUACCCUAAUCUCAUCAUUAACAUAACUACCUUUCAGCUUUUACAAAAUCAGUACCAACCACUUACUAAAAAAUAAAUAACUAGAACCUAACUAACUGAUCGAACUAUUAACCAACAAGGAGAACCAGAACUUCAAGAUUGAAACCAAACAAGAAACAUGUAUUAAGCCAUGAAAUACUUAAAACUAAUCCGCUUAAACCAAAACGAAUAUCAAAAAACAAUAACCUAGAAUCAGAACUUAACGACAUAAAGCAAAGCAAAAAUAUGUCAAUAGUGAUACAAACAAACAUAACCAAUUAAGUUAAAAAUAAAAAAUCAGACAUUAGAUUGAGAACUAACUGAAACAGUCACUGAUAUUCGGCUUAAAAUAUGCAUAUUUUUAUAUAUAUUGCCUCGCACUGUGCUCAUGUCUCAGAGAUUUUGGAUAUAUAAUAUAAUGAUUUGGGCUAAUUUGUGGUAUUUCUAUGCGUAGGAGUCAUUUGUGCGAAUUAGAGCGAAAAUGGGAAG
rnacentral:lncRNA from 1 species